CCUACGGGUGGCAGCAGUGAGGAAUAUUGGUCAAUGGGCGCGAGCCUGAACCAGCCAAGUAGCGUGAAGGAUGACUGCCCUACGGGUUGUAAACUUCUUUUAUAAAGGGAUAAAGUGAGGCACGUGUGCCUUUUUGUAUGUACUUUAUGAAUAAGGAUCGGCUAACUCCGUGCCAGCAGCCGCGGUAAUACGGAGGAUCCGAGCGUUAUCCGGAUUUAUUGGGUUUAAAGGGUGCGUAGAUGGGUUGUUAAGUCAGUUGUGAAAGUUUGAGGCUCAACCGUGAAAUUGCAAUUGAUACUGGAAGUCUAGAGUACAGUUGAGGUAGGCGGAAUGCGUGGUGUAGCGGUGAAAUGCUUAGAUAUCACGAAGAACACCGAUUGCGAAGGCAGCUUACUAAGCCGGCACUGACAUUGAUGCUCGAAAGUGUGGGUAUCAAACAGGAUUAGAUACCCGUGUAGUC
rnacentral:rRNA from 1 species